AACACGUGGGUAACCUGCCCAUCAGAAGGGGAUAACACUUGGAAACAGGUGCUAAUACCGUAUAACAAUCGAAACCGCAGGUUUCGGUUUGAAAGGCGCUUUUGCGUCACUGAUGGAUGGACCCGCGGUGCAUUAGCUAGUUGGUGAGGUAACGGCUCACCAAGGCAACGAUGCAUAGCCGACCUGAGAGGGUGAUCGGCCACAUUGGGACUGAGACACGGCCCAAACUCCUACGGGAGGCAGCAGUAGGGAAUCUUCGGCAAUGGACGCAAGUCUGACCGAGCAACGCCGCGUGAGUGAAGAAGGUUUUCGGAUCGUAAAACUCUGUUGUUAGAGAAGAACAAGGAUGAGAGUAGAAUGUUCAUCCCUUGACGGUAUCUAACCAGAAAGCCACGGCUAACUACGUGCCAGCAGCCGCGGUAAUACGUAGGUGGCAAGCGUUGUCCGGAUUUAUUGGGCGUAAAGCGAGCGCAGGCGGUUUCUUAAGUCUGAUGUGAAAGCCCCCGGCUCAACCGGGGAGGGUCAUUGGAAACUGGGAAACUUGAGUGCAGAAGAGGAGAGUGGAAUUCCAUGUGUAGCGGUGAAAUGCGUAGAUAUAUGGAGGAACACCAGUGGCGAAGGCGGCUCUCUGGUCUGUAACUGACGCUGAGGCUCGAAAGCGUGGGGAGCAAACAGGAUUAGAUACCCUGGUAGUCCACGCCGUAAACGAUGAGUGCUAAGUGUUGGAGGGUUUCCGCCCUUCAGUGCUGCAGCUAACGCAUUAAGCACUCCGCCUGGGGAGUACGACCGCAAGGUUGAAACUCAAAGGAAUUGACGGGGGCCCGCACAAGCGGUGGAGCAUGUGGUUUAAUUCGAAGCAACGCGAAGAACCUUACCAGGUCUUGACAUCCUUUGACCACUCUAGAGAUAGAGCUUCCCCUUCGGGGGCAAAGUGACA
rnacentral:rRNA from 1 species